UCCCGCCGAAAGGCAGGGGCUACAUGCUCUUUUACUACGGCGUUCUCUCUAGAAGAAUGUCAUAAAAUACAACUCUGACUAGAUACGUAAGUACUGAAGGGGUGGUGAGCAAAGGCGUUGGUGCAAACUGACGUAACAGUAAGAGAGCUAUUCGGG
rnacentral:ncRNA from 1 species